AUUGAACGCUGGCGGCAGGCCUAACACAUGCAAGUCGAGCGAGGGGCGGACGGGUGAGUAAUGUAUGGGGACUGCCCGAUAGAGGGGGAUAACUACUGGAAACGGUGGCUAAUACCGCAUACUAUUGGAUAACCCAUAUGGGAUUAGCUAGUAGGUGGGGUAAAGGCUCACCUAGGCGACGAUCCGUCGCUGGUCUGAGAGGAUGAUCAGCCACACUGGGACUGAGACACGGCCCAGACUCCUACGGAGGCAGCAUUGGGGAAUAUUGCACAAUGGGCGACAGCCUGAUCCAGCCAUGCCGCGUGUAUGAAGAAGGCCUUAGGGUUGUAAAGUACUUUUAGCGGGGAGGCGUUACCUGCAGAAGAAGCACCGGCUAACUCCGUGCCAGCCGCCGCGGUAAUAC
rnacentral:rRNA from 1 species